rnacentral:rRNA from 1 species
UUUUAUUUGAGAGUUUGAUCCUGGCUCAGGAUGAACGCUGGCGGCGUGCCUAACACAUGCAAGUUGAGCGAUUUACUUCGGUAAAGAGCGGCGGACGGGUGAGUAACGCGUGGGUAACCUACCCUGUACACACGGAUAACAUACCGAAAGGUAUGCUAAUACGGGAUAAUAUAUUUGAGAGGCAUCUCUUGAAUAUCAAAGGUGAGCCAGUACAGGAUGGACCCGCGUCUGAUUAGCUAGUUGGUAAGGUAACGGCUUACCAAGGCGACGAUCAGUAGCCGACCUGAGAGGGUGAUCGGCCACAUUGGAACUGAGACACGGUCCAAACUCCUACGGGAGGCAGCAGUGGGGAAUAUUGCACAAUGGGCGAAAGCCUGAUGCAGCAACGCCGCGUGAGUGAUGAAGGCCUUCGGGUCGUAAAACUCU